CCUACGGGAGGCAGCAGUGGGGAAUUUUGGACAAUGGGCGCAAGCCUGAUCCAGCAAUGCCGCGUGAGUGAAGAAGGCCUUCGGGUUGUAAAGCUCUUUUGUCAGGGAAGAAACGGUGGAGGUUAAUACCUUCUGCUAAUGACGGUACCUGAAGAAUAAGCACCGGCUAACUACGUGCCAGCAGCCGCGGUAAUACGUAGGGUGCAAGCGUUAAUCGGAAUUACUGGGCGUAAAGCGUGCGCAGGCGGUUGUGCAAGACAGAUGUGAAAUCCCCGGGCUCAACCUGGGAAUUGCAUUUGUGACUGUACGGCUAGAGUGUGUCAGAGGGGGGUAGAAUUCCACGUGUAGCAGUGAAAUGCGUAGAGAUGUGGAGGAAUACCGAUGGCGAAGGCAGCCCCCUGGGAUAACACUGACGCUCAUGCACGAAAGCGUGGGGAGCAAACAGGAUUAGAUACCCUGGUAGUCCACGCCCUAAACGAUGUCUACUAGUUGUCGGGUCUUUAUUGACUUGGUAACGCAGCUAACGCGUGAAGUAGACCGCCGUGGGGAGUACGGUCGCAAGAUUAAAACGNGAAAGGAUUGACGGCUGAGAGNGCGACGGACGACGACGAGGGAGGAGG
rnacentral:rRNA from 1 species